GAUGAACGCUAGCGGCAGGCCUAACACAUGCAAGUCGAGGGGCAGCACGGUGUAGCAAUACACUGGUGGCGACCGGCGCACGGGUGCGUAACGCGUAUGCAACCUACCCAUAACAGGGGGAUAACACUGAGAAAUUGGUACUAAUACCCCAUAACAUCAGGACCGGCAUCGGUUCUGGUUGAAAACUCCGGUGGUUAUGGAUGGGCAUGCGUUGUAUUAGCUGGUUGGUGAGGUAACGGCUCACCAAGGCAACGAUACAUAGGGGGACUGAGAGGUUAACCCCCCACAUUGGUACUGAGACACGGACCAAACUCCUACGGGAGGCAGCAGUGAGGAAUAUUGGUCAAUGGACGCAAGUCUGAACCAGCCAUGCCGCGUGCAGGAAGACGGCUCUAUGAGUUGUAAACUGCUUUUGUACGAGGGUAAACGCUCUUACGUGUAAGAGCCUGAAAGUAUCGUACGAAUAAGGAUCGGCUAACUCCGUGCCAGCAGCCGCGGUAAUACGGAGGAUCCAAGCGUUAUCCGGAUUUAUUGGGUUUAAAGGGUGCGUAGGCGGUUUGAUAAGUUAGAGGUGAAAUACCGGUGCUUAACACCGGAACUGCCUCUAAUACUGUUGAACUAGAGAGUAGUUGCGGUAGGCGGAAUGUAUGGUGUAGCGGUGAAAUGCUUAGAGAUCAUACAGAACACCGAUUGCGAAGGCAGCUUACCAAACUAUAUCUGACGUUGAGGCACGAAAGCGUGGGGAGCAAACAGGAUUAGAUACCCUGGUAGUCCACGCAGUAAA
rnacentral:rRNA from 1 species